rnacentral:SRP_RNA from 2 species
GCCAGGCGUGGUGGCUCACGCCUGUAAUCCCAGCACUUUGGGAGGCUGAGGCAGGUGGAUCACUUGAGGUCAGGAGUUCGAGACCAGCCUGACCAACAUGGUGAAACCCUGUCUCUA